rnacentral:rRNA from 1 species
GAUGAACGCUGGCGGCGUGCCUAAUACAUGCAAGUCGAGCGAACAGACGAGGAGCUUGCUCCUCUGACGUUAGCGGCGGACGGGUGAGUAACACGUGGAUAACCUACCUAUAAGACUGGGAUAACUUCGGGAAACCGGAGCUAAUACCGGAUAAUAUAUUGAACCGCAUGGUUCAAUAGUGAAAGACGGUUUUGCUGUCACUUAUAGAUGGAUCCGCGCCGCAUUAGCUAGUUGGUAAGGUAACGGCUUACCAAGGCGACGAUGCGUAGCCGACCUGAGAGGGUGAUCGGCCACACUGGAACUGAGACACGGUCCAGACUCCUACGGGACGCAGCAGUAGCGAAUCUUCCGCAAUGGGCGAAAGCCUGACGGAGCAACGCCGCGUGAGUGAUGAAGGUCUUCGGAUCGUAAAACUCUGUUAUUAGGGAAGAACAAAUGUGUAAGUAACUAUGCACGUCUUGACGGUACCUAAUCAGAAAGCCACGGCUAACUACGUG